GAGAUGGAUUGGUGCCUUCGGGAACGUCUGACACAGGUGCUGCAUGGCUGUCGUCAGCUCGUGUCGUGAGAUGUUGGGUUAAGUCCGUAACGAGCGCAACCCUUGUCCUUAGUUACCAGCACGUUAUGGUGGGCACUCUAAGGAGACUGCCGGUGGACAAACCGGAGGAAGGUGGGGGAUGACGUCAAGUCAUCAUGGCCCUUACGGCCUGGGCUACACACGUGCUACAAUGGUCGGUACAAAGGGUUGCCAAGCCGCGAGGUGGAGCUAAUCCCAUAAAACCGAUCGUAGUCCGGAUCGCAGUCUGCAACUCGACUGCGUGAAGUCGGAAUCGCUAGUAAUCGUGAAUCAGAAUGUCACGGUGAAUACGUUCCCGGGCCUU
rnacentral:rRNA from 1 species